rnacentral:rRNA from 1 species
CAGCAGCCGCGUUAAUACCGGCGGCCCGAGUGGCGGCCACUAUUAUUGGGCUUAAAGCGUCCGUAGCCGGGUUGGUUAGUCUCCCGGGAAAUCUGGCCGCUUAACGGUCAGAAUUCCGGGAGAUACUGCCAGCCUAGGGACCGGGAGAGGCCGAGGGUAUUCCCGGAGUAGGGGGGAAAUCCUAUAAUCCCGGGAGGACCACCUGUGGCGAAGGCGCUCGGCUGGAACGGGUCCGACGGUGAGGGACGAAGGCCAGGGGAGCAAACCGGAUUAGAUACCCGGGUAGUCCUGGCGGUAAACGAUGCGGACUUUGUGUCGGACAAGCUAUGAGCUUGUCCGGUGCCGGAGGGAAACCGUUAAGUCCGCCGCCUGGGGAGUACGGCCGCAAGGCUGAAACUUAAAGGAAUUGGCGGG